UCAAAGGCCAUGACUGGAUCCAUCCUCUCCCGAUUCGGGCCCCGGUUAGAGGAAGAAGGAAGGUCAACGGGAUCAAUCGAAGGUCAUGGCUCGAUCCAGCCCCAUGUGAUGUGUGGAUUGCUCAAUCGGUUUGCAAUGGAACUCCAGCUAAUCAACGAGUGUGACGGCGACAGCAACUGCUCUGAGGCGCUGCUCUACGACUGGGAGCCUCAUGUUCCACAUCAAGCAGGUUCUCUUCAUGGGAAGCCUUCUCUCCUUCCUGCAUAGCCAAAUAUAUGGGAUUGGUUCUAGACUCUGAAUCUGGUGGCGGCAAAUAUCCAGUGAUCGCGCGGGCGAGCAGUGAUGAGUGGUUGCUCCUCUAUUGAAGCGGAACACUUUGAUUCUUGGGGUAUUUCUUCUCGGAUUUAAGACUGAAUCCAACCACGUUGAGAUAUCACACCAGCCAUGGCAUGAAUGGCACCAGUGGGCGCCCACCCUGAUUCCAAACACUAUGAUUGCAUGGAGCAAGCAGGGGGAGAUGGACGACCUACUUGUGUGCAUAGCACAUUGUUGGCAAGCUCGAAAUUAUUUGGGCCAUGUGUGAUCAGUUGUCCUAAGAUAUAUCUUGGUCAUUAGAAAGAACAGUGGUGUCAUUCUCGCAACAACCUAUGGAAAAUUACACAUGUCCGGUAUGCUUAACAAAUCUAAAUCUCUACAUAGAAACAGAUUCGUUCAUGCCUGUUUUAAUGCUACGAGGAGGAGAGGAGAUAUUUUUUGUUAAUGAUGUAAUGUUUACAAAUCACUUCCUUUUUGUCUUGUUACUUUAUAGUAUUCGAGUUGUCUAUUUUUCCUAGAGCUUGUAAUGGUGGGGCUUACAUGCCAGCUAGGAUUGGUGCUUCCUAGGACCAUGUAAUCCUAUUUUGUUUUGUCUAUCACAUCACAAACUUUGUAAUUUGGUGGAUGUCAAUUUGGCUAGCUCAUCCCUUAAUGAAAACUUUAUUUUUUCUAGAAUGAUAUUAUAUGUGAGUACUA